rnacentral:rRNA from 1 species
UACAGGGGGGGCAAGCGUUGUUCGGAAUUACUGGGCGUAAAGGGCUCGUAGGCGGCCAACUAAGUCCGACGUGAAAUCCCAAAGCUUAACUUUGGAACUGCGUCGGAUACUGGAUGGCUUGAAUUCGGGAGAGGGAUGCAGAAUUCCAGGUGUAGCGGUGAAAUGCGUAGAUAUCUGGAGGAAUACCGGUGGCGAAGGCGGCAUCCUGGACCGACAUUGACGCUGAGGAGCGAAAGUGUGGGGAGCGAACAGG